AGUGAACGCUGGCGGUAGGCCUAACACAUGCAAGUCGAACGGCAGCACAGUAAGAGCUUGCUCUUACGGGUGGCGAGUGGCGGACGGGUGAGGAAUACAUCGGAAUCUACUUUUUCGUGGGGGAUAACGUAGGGAAACUUACGCUAAUACCGCAUACGACCUACGGGUGAAAGCAGGGGAUCUUCGGACCUUGCGCGAUUGAAUGAGCCGAUGUCGGAUUAGCUAGUUGGCGGGGUAAAGGCCCACCAAGGCGACGAUCCGUAGCUGGUCUGAGAGGGUGAUCAGCCACACUGGAACUGAGACACGGUCCAGACUCCUACGGGAGGCAGCAGUGGGGAAUAUUGGACAAUGGGCGCAAGCCUGAUCCAGCCAUACCGCGUGAGUGAAGAAGGCCUUCGGGUUGUAAAGCCCUUUUGUUGGGAAAGAAAAGCAGCAGGUUAAUACCCCGAUGUUCUGACGGUACCCAAAGAAUAAGCACCGGCUAACUACGUG
rnacentral:rRNA from 1 species